GAGCAAGGUCUGGUGAAUACAGCAGCUUACAGUCUAUAGUGCUGGUAUGAUUGUGCCCAUUAUUGAAGCCAAUAGAAAUAAGGACUAUUCCAGGCCUCAG